UACGGAGGGUGCAAGCGUUGCUCGGAAUUAUUGGGCGUAAAGGGUAGGUAGGUGGUCUCGUUUGUCAGGGGUGAAAGCCCUGGGCUUAACCCAGGAAGUGCCUUUGAAACGGCGAGACUUGAGUUCUGAAGAGGACAGCGGAAUUCCCGGUGUAGCGGUGAAAUGCGUAGAUAUCGGGAAGAACACCAGAGGCGAAGGCGGCUAUCUGGCCAGACACUGACACUGAACUACGAAAGCGUGGGGAGCAAACAGG
rnacentral:rRNA from 1 species